rnacentral:rRNA from 1 species
UACAGAGGGUGCAAGCGUUAUUCGGAAUUAUUGGGCGUAAAGCGCAUGUAGGUGGUUAGAUAAGUCUGAUGUGAAAAUCCCCGGACUCAAUUCGGGAAGUGCAUUGGAUACUGUUUGACUAGAGUAUGGGAGAGGUAAGCGGAAUUCCAGGUGUAGAGGUGAAAUUCGUAGAUAUUCGGAAGAACACCAGUGGCGAAGGCGACACACUGGGCCAUUACUGACGCUGAGGCGCGAAAGCGUGGGGAGCAAACAGG